GACGAACGCUGGCGGCGUGCCUAAUACAUGCAAGUAGAACGCUGAAGAGAGGAGCUUGCUCUUCUUGGAUGAGUUGCGAACGGGUGAGUAACGCGUAGGUAACCUGCCUUGUAGCGGGGGAUAACUAUUGGAAACGAUAGCUAAUACCGCAUAACAAUGGAUGACACAUGUCAUUUAUUUGAAAGGGGCAAUUGCUCCACUACAAGAUGGACUUGCGUUGUAUUAGCUAGUAGGUGAGGUAAUGGCUCACCUAGGCGACGAUACAUAGCCGACCUGAGAGGGUGAUCGGCCACACUGGGACUGAGACACGGCCCAGACUCCUACGGGAGGCAGCAGUAGGGAAUCUUCGGCAAUGGGGGCAACCCUGACCGAGCAACGCCGCGUGAGUGAAGAAGGGUGUCGGAUCGUAAAGCUCUGUUGUAAGUCGAGAACGGGUGUGAGAGUGGAAAGUUCACACUGUGACGGUAGCUUACCAGAAAGGGACGGCUAACUACGUG
rnacentral:rRNA from 1 species